GUGGAGGCUAUAUUCAGGGGUACCGGUACUGAGUCAGUGUGGAGGCUAUAUUCAGGGGGUACCGGUACUGAGUCAGUGUGGAGGCUAUAUUCAGGGGGUACCGGUACUGAGUCAGUGUGGAGGCUAUAUUCAGGGGGUACCGGUACUGAGUCAGUGUGGAGGCUAUAUACAGGGGGUACCGGUACUGAGUCAGUGUGGAGGCUAUAUUCAGGGGGUACCGGUACUGAGUCAGUGUGGAGGCUAUAUUCAGGGGGUACCGGUACUGAGUCAGUGUGGAGGCUAUAUUCAGGGGGUACCGGUACUGAGUCAGUGUGGAGGUUAUAUACAGGGGGUACCGGUACUGAGUCAGUGUGGAGGUUAUAUACAGGGGGUACCGGUACUGAGUCAGUGUGGAGGUUAUAUACAGGGGGUACCGGUACUGAGUCAGUGUGGAGGUUAUAUACAGGGGGUACCGGUACUGAGUCAGUGUGGAGGUUAUAUACAGGGGGUACCGGUACUGAGUCAGUGUGGAGGUUAUAUACAGGGGGUACCGGUACUGAGUCAGUGUGCGGGGGAACAGGUUGGUUGAGGUAGUUUGUACAUGUAGGUAGGGGUGAAGUGACUAUGCAUAGAUAAUAAACUGCAAGUCGCAGCAGUAUACAAAACACCAGUCUUUUGUGUUGGGGGGUAGAAGCUGUUGAGGAGCCUUUUGGUCCUCGACUUGGCGCUCCAGUACUGCUUGCCGUGCGGUAGCAGAGAAAACAGUCUAUGACAGGGGUGACUGGAGUCUCUGACAAUUUUUUGGGGCGUUCCUCUGACACCGCCUGGUAUAGAGAUCCUGGAUGGCAAGAAGCUUGGUCCCAGUGAUGUACUCGGCCGUACGCACUCCCCUCUGUAGCGCCUUACGGUCAGAUGUGGAGCUGUUUCCAUACCAAGCGGUGAUGCAACCGGUCAGGAUGCUCUCGAUGGUGCAGCUGUAGAACCUUUUGAGGAUCUGGGGACCCAUGCUAAAUCUGAUGUGGUGUGGUG